AUUGAACGCUGGCGGCAGGCCUAACACAUGCAAGUCGAGCGAGCGGCGGACGGGUGAGUAAUGUAUGGGGACUGCCCGAUAGAGGGGGAUAACUACUGGAAACGGUAGCGAAUACCGCAUACUAUCGGAUAACCCAUAUGGGAUUAGCUAGUAGGGUAGGUAAUGGCUCACCUAGGCGACGAUCACUAGCUGGUCUGAGAGGAUGAUCAGCCACACGGGGACUGAGACACGGCCCAGACUCCUGCGGAGGCAGCAGUGGGGAAUAUUGCACAAUGGGCGCAAGCCUGAUGCAGCCAUGCCGCGUGUAUGAAGAAGGCCCUAGGGUUGUAAAGUACUUUCAGUUGGGAGGCGUUGCCGACAGAAGAAGCACCGGCUAACUCCGUGCCAGCAGCCGCGGUAAUUC
rnacentral:rRNA from 1 species